rnacentral:piRNA from 2 species
CUUUAACAUUUAGUUUCUGUCUUCAAGUA